UACGGGGGGAGCAAGCGUUGUUCGGAUUUACUGGGCGUAAAGGGCGCGUAGGCGGCCACGACAAGUCAGUUGUGAAAUCUCCGGGCUUAACUCGGAACGGUCAAGUGAUACUGUCGUGCUAGAGUACAGAAGGGGCAACUGGAAUUCUCGGUGUAGCGGUGAAAUGCGUAGAUAUCGAGAGGAACACCUGCGGCGAAGGCGGGUUGCUGGGCUGAUACUGACGCUGAGGCGCGAAAGCUAGGGGAGCGAACGGG
rnacentral:rRNA from 1 species